rnacentral:rRNA from 1 species
AACGUAGGACACAAGCGUUAUCCGGAGUUACUGGGCGUAAAGGGUGUGUAGGCGGAGAUGUAAGUCUAUUCUGAAAGCUCCUGGCUAAACUGGGAGAGGCGAAUGGAGACUGCAUAUCUAGAGUGAGGAAGAGGAAAAGUGGAAUUCCGCGUGUAGUGGUGAAAAUGCGUAGAGAUGCGGAGGAACACCAGUGGCGAAAGCGACUUUCUGGUCCUUAACUGACGCUGAGGCGCGAAAAGCAUGGGGGAGCGAACGGGG